CGACAUGCCUGUGAAACUUUGCAAAUGAAAUGAAGGUUGCUCAUCAGGGGACCUUAAGGGAGAUGAUCCUGACUUUUCCCAGCUGGGAUGUAGGAGGGACAGCACCGCUUUGUGACAUCUGACUGCGUGGAACCCUGAAUCAGAAUGAGAUUCACUGAGAAGGCUCAGAUUGUCGCAGAAACAGGUGCACCCUUCUGAACUUUCAGGAACCCUGUUAGAUCAGCUAGCUCUCAUGCGUGCCUGAGCUGGACGUUUACUUACAAGCGGUACCACUCACCUGUCCACUGAAGGUUUCAACGCAGAACCCCGGGCCCAGCCUCGAGGAGCAGCUGGCUGUUUUUCUCCAAACUCUGGUAGAUGGUAUAGACUGGGGGUAGGACAUUUUCACAUGGACCCGGAUUUCCUGUCGAUUUGUGAUGGAUUAGCAUUCCAAAAUUGCUUCAGGUGCACUUAGUGUAUGCAUUACUGUAGAAGGGAUCCGCCUAACUGGAGUAUUUCUGAAUUUAUGCAAUUGAAAUGCACUUCAAGUUCCCAAGCAGUCUAAAUCUGUCAGUCACGGGGUGGGAAGCAGGUCGGUACUGGUGGCAGAGGUGCUGGAAACAUCAGUGUCUAGGCCUCGCUGGCACUCAGGCACAGCCUUUCCCAGUGGCAGAAGCAGAGCCUGGAUCUGCUGAGCGCUCCUAGCCCCCUGCACAAAUGAGUGAAUGAAUGCAUGCAGGCUGCAGGCAGGCCCUGGUCUUCUCACUCUCUGAUAUGUCCUUCACUUGUCUUCCAUGGUAUCUUAAUUACAGGCACAUUUGUUCGCUGAAUCAAUGAAUCCAUUAGCAAACACCAUGUGAUGCUCAUCGUGACAUGAUUUUCAACAGGGUUACUACCAGAAACUUUUCCGCUCUUGUUGUCACCUAGAUGUUGUCUCCAGUCCUCAAAGCACCCACUGAGGCCACAUGCCUGUCAGUGGCUGCCCCAGGAGUGCUG